CAUGCAAGUCGAGGGGCAUCAUGAGGUAGCAAUACCUUGAUGGUCGACGGCGCACGGGUGAGUAACGCGUAUGCAACCUGCCUGAUACCGGGGUAUAGCCCAUGGAAACGUGGAUUAACACCCCAUAGUACUUUUAUCCUGCAUGGGAUGUGAGUUAAAUGUUUAAGGUAUCGGAUGGGCAUGCGUCCUAUUAGUUAGUUGGCGGGGUAACAGCCCACCAAGACGAUGAUAGGUAGGGGUUCUGAGAGGAAGGUCCCCCACAUUGGAACUGAGACACGGUCCAAACUCCUACGGGAGGCAGCAGUGAGGAAUAUUGGUCAAUGGACGUAAGUCUGAACCAGCCAAGUCGCGUGAGGGAAGACUGCCCUAUGGGUUGUAAACCUCUUUUAUAAGGGAAGAAUAAGUUCUUACGUGUAGAAUGAUGCCUGUACCUUAUGAAUAAGCAUCGGCUAACUCCGUGCCAGCAGCCGCGGUAAUACGGAGGAUGCGAGCG
rnacentral:rRNA from 1 species